rnacentral:misc_RNA from 1 species
CAACCCUCGAACCCCUCCGGGGGGUCGGCGUUGGGGAUCGGCCGUCUGACGGCCGGCCCCGAAAUACAGUGGCGGUCUCGCCGCAGCCUCUCCUGCGCAGUAGUUUGCACACUCGCACCGGGAGCGCGGCGCGUCCACGUCCGUAAAACACCCCAAAUUUUUGAAA